GGAUUAUGGAUCUGUGUUCAAUCAUCUAAUAAAAACCCAGUCAGAUCUCUUUCUCACACACAAACAUCACAACUUUUUAUCAAGAUCCCUUCUCUCUAACCCCUCCUAAACAUGGCCACCACCACCAUCGAUUGAGAAGAAGAUAGGGCGGCUGGGAAUCAACUGCUACUACUUUACCAGAGAAGAUCUUUCAAUCAUCUACACCACCGCAGAUCUAGCUGGGCAGUGUUUAUGCUGGUGACAGCGAUGUUAAACCCUAGCCACCCUUACCCCUCUAGAUUCGAGAGAGAGAGAAAUUCCAUAGAGAGAGAGAGAGAGAGAGCUGCGAGAUGAUGUUGGUGGUAGUUGUUCUUGAAUCUGAGCAAAGGGGCGGCGACGGAGUUAGGGGCGGCAGGGGCGGCGGAGUUUAAGGUGUUGACAGCGGUGUUAGGGUGGUGGAUGAGUUGAUGUUGGUGGUGUUCUUGAAUCUGAGAUUAUUUUUCUUCCAUUUAUAUAUCAUGUAUUUAGAUGUUGAUGCACAUAUAUGAUGUUCAGAUGUUUAUGAGAAGCUUGUUCAAAAGGGGAAAAGACUUGGUUUCUUCCGCUUGCUGGCAACACAGCUGUAUGGCAAGGUUUAUAUCCAGGUUGAUUUAAGUUCUUCAAUUUUUAGUGGUUGUAUAGAUCUAAAACAAAUGAUGAGAUGAUGUUGUUGGUGGUGGUGGUGGUUGUUAUGAAGAUGAAAUUCAAAGAUAAGGUUUGAAGAUGGUGUUUAAGAUCGAAUUUAUGAUGAUGUUCAUGUUUCAUAAUUUAUAUUCUUUAUUUUGAAGAUAUCAUAUUCAUAUUUUAUUGCAGAUGUUUAUUGUUUGAAGAUGUUCAUAUUGUUCAUUUGAA